CUCUAAAUCUACAUCCUCUGGCUUUACCUCCUGAGUCUAGGGGGCAUGGCAACAAGAAGAGGAAGAGAAAGACAAAGAGAAGACAGUUCAGACAGGACAGAUUAUGCACACCAACAUAAUGAGUCAGAUAUUUUUGUUUGAGCCCAUGUUUGUACCCAACACUAAAAAUUACCAGCGAUACUAUAGGUGUUUGCAUUGAACAAGGAACCUACAGAUUUCUUUACAACUAGUACUGUAAAUUACAA